rnacentral:lncRNA from 1 species
CCUGCUCCAGAGGUUGACCCACCAUCUUCCUUGUAUUUGUGCUUAGGUUGAAAGCCCCCCUCUGUGGGGAAAAAAGAAAUAUUUUUCUGAGUUAAAAGCACCUCAGUGAUCCUGAGCAACAGGUUGAAAGAAACUAUAAAACUUGAGAAAAUGUUGAAGAACUGAAAAGAAAUAGUAUUUGACUUGACAUAGCAUGCCAUUUUGAGAACUAGCUUUUAAACAGCAUUUACUAAGAGGUCCUACUUAAGUUUGGAGGGUUUUUUUUUUACCACUGUAUCCUGGUAUUCAAAAGUCUUUUUUCUUUCUUUCUUCCAGCCUCUUCCAUCACAUCUCUUAAAUCCAGUAAAAAUCGUGAACACCAAAUUGAGUUCUCAUUAGCCAGCUGUAUACCAUUCCUCUAAGGAAUAGUUCAUUUCAACAACCAGUGAAAGAGUCUGGAUGCUUAAGUUUCCUGAUAUGUGUCUCAGGGUCAUUCACUGGUGAGAGAGACAGCAGAAUGGCAGUUGUACCUUCUGGACUAUUUCCUGGAAGAAGGGCCAACCCCCAGCUGGAGUCCUGAGAGGGCCUGGGAAGUCAGCAAGUAUGUAUUGAGGCCCUACAGAUGCAUGAUAGUAUAUAAUGGAGGG